AUUUAAGUAGUUUAAAUUAAAACAUUGAUUUGUGGGGUCAAUAAUAUAAAUUAUAUUAUCUUAAAUA
rnacentral:tRNA from 1 species